GGAGGAAGGAAAACAGCUCAUCUCUUGACAUGAGUGCGACAGAGGAUUCCAGUUCUUCUUGGCACCUCCAUGGCCUUCAAGUUGCUGCAUUCCUGCUUAUCUACCAGUUCAGCACUGUCUAUUUCUGGCAGACUACUUUAUCCCUUGACACAGGUAUGUACUUCAUGGGCGUCCACAAAGAGCAGAAAGUGAUAACACCUCAAGGCUUCAGGGAGCCUCAGCAGUCCUGUAACUGAGAUAUUGCACUGCUGCUACAUGUAGAAGGACAGGGAUAUAGAUCAGUAGCUCCGUUUAGGGGAGACUAAGGUUGAUGCCAUUGGUCUGACCUCUGGUGGGUCUGUUUCACAUGUAUUUCUCCCUUCCCCUGUAGGUCCAAAGGUGAUGGCAUCCUCAAGGUGUAACCCAGUAGUGUUGUCUAAUGCAGCUAGGUGUAUGACCAACACAAGGUUCACCAUUUCACUUGAGAAGCGUGUUCAGGAAGAGAGGAAGAGGAGGAAGUGGUGUUGAGUUUGUUGUAACUCCAGAUCAAGCCCUGAUGGCAAUGGUUUAACCAAGCUUGAAAAUGGCAACCUGACCCCUGACUACAACAGUGGAAUCCUCCUCAGUAGGCAGUAGGUUGACACAGGAGAAAGCAAGGUCAUGAAGGUAAGAAGGACCAUCUAUGAGCUCUUGGUGGUUAGGAUCCAUGGAAGAGGUGAACAUUGGUCUGUGCCUUUCAACAGGUCUUAGCUGCAGCCCCACUACCAGCGUGCAAGGAAGCAAUGAAACUGUGGUGAUAGUGGAGGAUAUUCCCACAGCUGAGCCAUCAGGAUCACCACUGCCACCACAGACAGUUCAGAGAAGAAAAUGCAGACAAGCCAUUUGCUACUGACUCCACCAGUCUUCUCAUUCAGCGGAGUGGUCUGAUGAGAGGAGGGGCGCAAGUUCCAAGUAGAAGACCCAGCAUGUGGCUGCAGCCUCACCCAGCCCAGUUGUUGACCGUGGACAUUGUCUCCUCAGUCCGCAUGUGAAGACGGUGACAUCAACCCCUAGAGUGUGUCAUGGUGCUACUUGGCAGAGCCCAUAUCUGCAGCCACAUCUCAUGCCAUACUAUCUAGAAAUGCCAGGAUCUAUCACCAUCCUGCAUCUGUGGCCUCCAGAUUGUCAAUUAACUCCAUCAAAAAUAUACAUAUGGUAAUUAAAGGUAGGACAUUUGUCCACAGCCAAAGGUUCCUACUUGUCUCUCGAAGAGACAUAGAAAUACAGUUUUCUCAGUGGUGUUGAAGAAACAUUACCAGACUUGGGGAAGAAGGGGACUUCGGUUGUUGGAACAUCUUUGUCACUUUCAGUAUAUGGGGAAUUUUUAAAUCUUACUCCUCAUCUUUUAUUAUUAUGUCUUACUCUUCACCUUAUCUAUUAAAAAAAAAACAACAUAUUCAACAAUUAACUGGAAAGAAACAAACACACGCACACAAAAAAAAAAAACAACAAAAGCCAACAACCAAAAACCUAACACAGAAGAAGAGACACUAGUGACUGACAUGGAAGCCAUGGCGUUGGUCUGCCAAUCAGCUCUAUUCCUGAGCUUCCUCUUCUCCAAAGAGAACUCCAAAGGAG
ensembl:lncRNA